UAGUUAAAAAAAAAAAAAAAACAACUCUACCCCCCAUAUAGCCUGAAGGUGAGAGGCCUCCCUCUUCAAUUGCCACAUAAGGUGAAACAAGAAUGAUUCCAUAAGGCCAUAAUGAAGUUUUGAUCUUGCAAACAGAAAGAGACCCACAGUAGCUUCAAAAACUUAAAUCAAAUUAAUCACAACUUAACUAAUGACGCUUUAGACCAAUUUGAAACAGAAGGCUCAAGUUCCCAGUUCUUUAACUCACAAAGCAGACAGAUCAGAGACAAUAUACCCAAUCAUGAAGACACCUUA
rnacentral:misc_RNA from 1 species